CCUACGGGAGGCAGCAGCAAGGAAUCUUGCGCAAUGGGCGAAAGCCUGACGCAGCAACGCCGCGUGGGGGAUGAAGGCCUUCGGGUUGUAAACCCCUUUUGUUAGGGAAGAAUUCUGACGGUACCUAACGAAUAAGCCUCGGCUAACUACGUGCCAGCAGCCGCGGUAAUACGUAGGAGGCGAGCGUUGUCCGGAUUUACUGGGCGUAAAGAGCGCGCGGGCGGCCUGAGAAGUCUUGUGUGAAAUCUCCCGGCUUAACGGGGAGGGGUCAUGAGAUACUCUUGGGCUUGAGGGAAGAAGAGGAGGGUGGAAUUCCCGGUGGAGGGGUGAAAUGCGUAGAUAUCGGGAGGACCACCGGUGGCGAAGGCGGCCCUCUGGGCUUCCCCUGACGCUGAGGCGCGAAAGCGGGGGGAGCAAACCGGAUUAGAUACCCCUGUAGU
rnacentral:rRNA from 1 species